AUUGAACGCUGGCGGAAUGCCUAACACAUGUAAGUCGAGCGGGGUGUAGCAAUACACCUAGCGGCGGACGGGUGAGGAAUACAUAGGAAUCUACCUUUAAGUGGGGGAUAGCCCGGGGAAACCCGGAUUAAUACCGCAUGAUCUCGCAAGAGCAAAGCGGGGGACCGUAAGGCCUCGCGCUGAAAGAUGAGCCUAUGUCGGAUUAGCUAGUUGGCGGGGUAAAGGCCCACCAAGGCGACGACCGUAGCUGGUCUGAGAGGACGAUCAGCCACACCGGAACUGAGACACGGUCCGGACUCCUACGGGAGGCAGCAGGUGGGGAAUAUUGGACAAUGGGCGCAAGCCUGAUCCAGCAAUUCCGCGUGUGUG
rnacentral:rRNA from 1 species